CGGACGGGUGAGUAAUGUCUGGGAAACUGCCCGAUGGAGGGGGAUAGCUACUGGAAACGGUAGCUAAUACCGCAUAACGUCGCAAGACCAAAGAGGGGGACCUUCGGGCCUCUUGCCAUCGGAUGUGCCCAGAUGGGAUUAGCUAGUAGGUGGGGUAACGGCUCACCUAGGCGACGAUCCCUAGCUGGUCUGAGAGGAUGACCAGCCACACUGGAACUGAGACACGGUCCAG
rnacentral:rRNA from 1 species